GACGAACGCUGGCGGCGUGCUUAACACAUGCAAGUCGAACGGAAAGGCCCUGCUUUUGUGGGGUGCUCGAGUGGCGAACGGGUGAGUAACACGUGAGUAACCUGCCCUUGACUUUGGGAUAACUUCAGGAAACUGGGGCUAAUACCGGAUAGGAGCUCCUGCUGCAUGGUGGGGGUUGGAAAGUUUCGGCGGUUGGGGAUGGACUCGCGGCUUAUCAGCUUGUUGGUGGGGUAGUGGCUUACCAAGGCUUUGACGGGUAGCCGGCCUGAGAGGGUGACCGGCCACAUUGGGACUGAGAUACGGCCCAGACUCCUACGGGAGGCAGCAGUGGGGAAUAUUGCACAAUGGGCGGAAGCCUGAUGCAGCAACGCCGCGUGCGGGAUGACGGCCUUCGGGUUGUAAACCGCUUUCGCCUGUGACGAAGCGUGAGUGACGGUAAUGGGUAAAGAAGCACCGGCUAACUACGUGCCAGUAGCCGCGGUGAUACGUAGGGUGCGAGCGUUGUCCGGAUUUAUUGGGCGUAAAGGGCUCGUAGGUGGUUGAUCGCGUCGGAAGUGUAAUCUUGGGGCUUAACCCUGAGCGUGCUUUCGAUACGGGUUGACUUGAGGAAGGUAGGGGAGAAUGGAAUUCCUGGUGGAGCGGUGGAAUGCGCAGAUAUCAGGAGGAACACCAGUGGCGAAGGCGGUUCUCUGGGCCUUUCCUGACGCUGAGGAGCGAAAGCGUGGGGAGCGAACAGGCUUAGAUACCCUGGUAGUCCACGCUGUAAACGGUGGGUACUAGGUGUGGGGUCCAUUCCACGGGUUCCGUGCCGUAGCUAACGCUUUAAGUACCCCGCCUGGGGAGUACGGCCGCAAGGCUAAAACUCAAAGGAAUUGACGGGGCCCCGCACAAGCGGCGGAGCAUGCGGAUUAAUUCGAUGCAACGCGUAGAACCUUACCUGGGUUUGACAUGGAUCGGGAGUGCUCAGAGAUGGGUGUGCCUCUUUUGGGGUCGGUUCACAGGUGGUGCAUGGCUGUCGUCAGCUCGUGUCGUGAGAUGUUGGGUUAAGUCCCGCAACGAGCGCAACCCUUGUUCACUGUUGCCAGCACGUUAUGGUGGGGACUCAGUGGAGACCGCCGGGGUCAACUCGGAGGAAGGUGGGGAUGACGUCAAGUCAUCAUGCCCCUUAUGUCCAGGGCUUCACGCAUGCUACAAUGGCUGGUACAGAGAGUGGCGAGCCUGUGAGGGUGAGCGAAUCUCGGAAAGCCGGUCUCAGUUCGGAUUGGGGUCUGCAACUCGACCUCAUGAAGUCGGAGUCGCUAGUAAUCGCAGAUCAGCAACGCUGCGGUGAAUACGUUCCCGGG
rnacentral:rRNA from 1 species